rnacentral:rRNA from 1 species
CAAGGAAUUUUCCCCAAUGGGCGCAAGCCUGAGGGAGCAACGCCGCGUGGAGGACGACGGCCUUCGGGUUGUAAACUCCUUUCGGGUGGGACGAGCAUGACGGUACCACCAGAAGCAGCCCCGGCUAACUCUGUGCCAGCAGCCGCGGUAAGACAGAGGGGGCAAGCGUUGUCCGGAGUUACUGGGCGUAAAGGGCGCGCAGGCGGUGGGCUGCG